CUUAGCCUUGAGGGAGAUCGUGCUCACGCAGGCCGGGCAGUGCGGGAAUGAGAUCGGCGCCAAGUUCUGGGAGACGAUCUCUGAUGAACACGCCAUCGACUCCACCGGCACCUAUCAAGGGGACAUCCAUGGGCAGCUGGAGCGCAUCGACGUGUACUACAACGAGGCCUGCGGUGAGAGCCCCGACCUUCCCCACCGCCCUCCUGGGAACGCGGCCCUCCCCUCGCUCAUGUCCUCCCGCCCCUCUCGGGUGGCAGGUACGUGCCCCGCGCUGUGCUGGUGGAUCUGGAGCCGGGCACCCUGGACUCUGUGCGCUCGGGGCCCUUCGGGCAGAUCUUCAGGCCGGACAACUUCAUCUUUGGUCAGAGUGGGGCCGGAAACAACUGGGCCAGGGGGCACUACACAGAAGGCGCGGAGCUGGUGGACUCGGUGCUGGAUGUUGUGAGGAAGGAGGCUGAGAGCUGUGACUGCCUGCAGGGUUUCCAGCUGACCCACUCCCUGG
rnacentral:lncRNA from 1 species